GACGAACACUGGCGGCGUGCCUAACACAUGCAAGUCGAGCGAUGAAACCCUUCGGGGUGGAUUAGCGGCGGACGGGUGAGUAACACGUGGGUAACCUGCCUCAAAGAGGGGGAUAGCCUCCCGAAAGGGAGAUUAAUACCGCAUAACAUUAGUUUUUCGCAUGGAGAACUAAUUAAAGGAGUAAUCCGCUUUGAGAUGGACCCGCGGCGCAUUAGCUAGUUGGUGAGGUAAAGGCUCACCAAGGCGACGAUGCGUAGCCGACCUGAGAGGGUGAUCGGCCACAUUGGAACUGAGACACGGUCCAGACUCCUACGGGAGGCAGCAGUGGGGAAUAUUGCACAAUGGGCGAAAGCCUGAUGCAGCAACGCCGCGUGAGUGAUGAAGGCCUUCGGGUUGUAAAGCUCUGUCUUUUGGGACGAUAAUGACGGUACCAAAGGAGGAAGCCACGGCUAACUACGUGCCAGCCGCCGCAGUAACAC
rnacentral:rRNA from 1 species